rnacentral:rRNA from 1 species
GACGAACGCUGGCGGCGGGCUUAACACAUGCAAGUCGAACGGAAAGGCACCCUUGUGGGGUACUCGAGUGGCGAACGGGGGAGAAACGCGGGAGAAACCUACCCUUGACUUUGGGAGAAGGUCAGGAAACGGGGACUAAUACCGGAAAGGAGCUCGUGCUGCAGGGGGGGGGUGGGAAGGUUUGGGCGGGGGGGGAUGGGCUGCGGGCUUAUCAGCUUGUCGGGGGGGUAGGGGCUAAGCAAGCCAUGGCGGGGAAGCCGGCCUGAGAGGGGGGCCGGCCACCUUGCUCCUGCGAUACGGCCCAGACUCCUACGGGAGGCAGCGGUGGGGAAUAUUGCCCAAUGGGCGGACGCCUGUUGCAGCAACGCCGCGUGCGUGAUGCCGGCCUUCGGGUUGUGAACCGCUUCCGCCUGUGACGAAGCGUGAGUGACGGUAAUGGGUAAAGAAGCACCGGCUAACUACGUG